rnacentral:rRNA from 1 species
ACGCUAGCGAUAGGCUUAACACAUGCAAGUCGAGGGGCAGCAUGGUCUUAGCUUGCUAAGACUGAUGGCGACCGGCGCACGGGUGCGUAACGCGUAUGCAACUUGCCUCACAGAGGGGGAUAACCCGUCGAAAGACGGACUAAUACCGCGUACACUUGGGAUAGGGCAUCCUAACCCAAGGAAAUGAAUUUCGCUGUGAGAUAGGCAUGCGUCCCAUUAGCUAGUUGGUGAGGUAACGGCUCACCAAGGCAACGAUGGGUAGGGGAACUGAGAGGUUGAACCCCCACACUGGUACUGAGACACGGACCAGACUCCUACGGGAGGCAGCAGUGAGGAAUAUUGGUCAAUGGGCGAGAGCCUGAACCAGCCAAGUCGCGUGAAGGAUGACUGUCUUAUGGAUUGUAAACUUCUUUUGUAGGGGAAUAAAGAGGGGCACGUGUGCCUCAGUGAAUGUACCCUACGAAUAAGCAUCGGCUAACUCCGUGCCAGCAGCCGCGGUAAUACGGAGGAUGCGAGCGUUAUCCGGAUUUAUUGGGUUUAAAGGGUGCGUAGGCGGCCUGUUAAGUCAGCGGUGAAAUCUAGGAGCUUAACUCCUAAAUUGCCAUUGAUACUGGCGGGCUUGAGUGUAGAUGAGGUAGGCGGAAUGCGUGGUGUAGCGGUGGAAUGCGUAGAUAUCACGCAGAACUCCGAUUGCGAAGGCAGCUUACUAAGGUACAACUGACGCUGAAGCACGAAAGCGUGGGUAUCAAACAGGAUUAGAUACCCUGGUAGUCCACGCAGUAAACGAUGAUAACUGGGCGUAUGCGAUAUACAGUAUGCUCCUAAGCGAAAGCGUUAAGUUAUCCACCUGGGGAGUACGCCGGCAACGGUGAAACUCAAAGGAAUUGACGGGGGCCCGCACAAGCGGAGG